AACGAACGCUGGCGGCAUGCCUAACACAUGCAAGUCGAACGAUGCUUUCGAGCAUAGUGGCGCACGGGUGCGUAACGCGUGGGAAUCUGCCCUUAGGUUCGGAAUAACAGUUAGAAAUGACUGCUAAUACCGGAUGAUGACGUUAAGUCCAAAGAUUUAUCGCCUGAGGAUGAGCCCGCGUAGGAUUAGCUAGUUGGUGUGGUAAGAGCGCACCAAGACGACGAUCCUUAGCUGGUCUGAGAGGAUGAUCAGCCACACUGGGACUGAGACACGGCCCAGACUCCUACGGGAGGCAGCAGUGGGGAAUACUGGACAAUGGGCGCAAGCCUGAUCCAGCAAUGCCGCGUGAGUGAUGAAGGCCUUAGGGUUGUAAAGCUCUUUUACCCGUGAUGAUAAUGACAGUAGCGGGAGAAUAAGCCCCGGCUAACUCCGUGCCAGCAGCCGCAGUAA
rnacentral:rRNA from 1 species